CCGAAACCAGGUGAUCUACCCAUGUCCAGGGUGAAGUUCAGGUAACACUGAAUGGAGGCCCGAACCCACGCACGUUGAAAAGUGCGGGGAUGAGGUGUGGGUAGGGGUGAAAUGCCAAUCGAACCUGGAGAUAGCUGGUUCUCUCCGAAAUAGCUUUAGGGCUAGCCUCAAGGUAAGAGUCUUGGAGGUAGAGCACUGAUUGGACUAGGGGCCCCUACCGGGUUACCGAAUUCAGUCAAACUCCGAAUGCCAAUGACUUAUCCUUGGGAGUCAGACUGCGAGUGAUAAGAUCCGUAGUCGAAAG
rnacentral:rRNA from 1 species